rnacentral:rRNA from 1 species
GGAAUUUUGGACAAUGGGCGCAAGCCUGAUCCCGCCAUGCCGCGUGAGUGAAGAAGGCCUUCGGGUUGUAAAGCUCUUUCGGCGGGGACGAAACGGUCCGUGCUAACACCACGGACUAAUUACGGUACUCGCAGAAGAAGCACCGGCUCACUACGUGCCACCAGCCGCGGGAAUACGUAGGGUGCAGGCGUUAAUCGGACUUACUGGGCGUAAAGCGUGCGCAGGCGGCUCCUUAAGUCAGAUGUGAAAGCCCCGGGCUUAACCUGGGAACUGCGUUUGAAACUGGGGAGCUAGAGUGUGGAAGAGGGGGGUGGAAUUCCAGGUGUAGCAGUGAAAUGCGUAGAGAUCUGGAGGAACACCGAUGGCGAAGGCAGCCCCCUGGGCUAACACUGACGCUCAUGCACGAAAGCGUGGGGAGCAAAC